rnacentral:rRNA from 1 species
UACGGAGGGUGCGAGCGUUGUCCGGAAUCACUGGGCGUAAAGGGCGCGUAGGCGGCGCGGGUAGUCAUCGGUGAAAAGUUCAGGGCUCAACUCUGAAUCGGCCGGUGAUACUCCCGUGCUCGAGCACUGUAGAGGCAGGUGGAAUUCCGGGUGUAGCGGUGGAAUGCGUAGGAGAUCCGGAAGAACACCGGUGGCGAAGGCGGCCUGCUGGGCGAGUGAGCUGACGCUGAUGCGCGACAGCGUGGGGGAGCAAACGGGG